AUUGAACGCUGGCGGCAUGCCUUACACAUGCAAGUCGAACGGUAACAGGUUAAGCUGACGAGUGGCGAACGGGUGAGUAAUAUAUCGGAACGUGCCCAGUAGUGGGGGAUAGCCCGGCGAAAGCCGGAUUAAUACCGCAUACGACCUACGGGUGAAAGGGGGGGAUCGCAAGACCUCUCGCUAUUGGAGCGGCCGAUAUCAGAUUAGGUAGUUGGUGGGGUAAAGGCCUACCAAGCCUGCGAUCUGUAGUUGGUCUGAGAGGACGACCAGCCACACUGGGACUGAGACACGGCCCAGACUCCUACGGGAGGCAGCAGUGGGGAAUUUUGGACAAGAGGCGCAAGCCUGAUCCAGCAAUGCCGCGUGCAGGAAGAAGGCCUUCGGGUUGUAAACUGCUUUUGUCAGGGAAGAAAUCCUCUGGGUUAAUACCCCGGGGGGAUGACGGUACCUGAAGAAUAAGCACCGGCUAACUACGUGCCAGCCGCCGCCGUAAGAC
rnacentral:rRNA from 1 species